GACAGAGGCCUCAAGCGUUAGGCGGAAUCACUGGGCUUAAAGCGUGUGUAGGCGGGUCGUUAAGUACCUUGUGAAAUCCCACGGCUCACCCGUGGAACUGCUGGGUAUACUGGCGAUCUUGGGCCAACUAGGGGCAACUGGAACAAGCGGUGGAGCGGUGAAAUGCGUAGAUAUCUGGAGGAAUACCGGUGGCGAAGGCGGCAUCCUGGACCGACAUUGACGCUGAACGGCGAAAGCUAGGGGAGCAAACGGG
rnacentral:rRNA from 1 species